GACGAACGCUGGCGGCGUGCCUAAUACAUGCAAGUUGAGCGCUGAAGGUUGGUACUUGUACCAACUGGAUGAGCAGCGAACGGGUGAGUAACGCGUGGGGAAUCUGCCUUUGAGCGGGGGACAACAUUUGGAAACGAAUGCUAAUACCGCAUAAAAACUUUAAACACAAGUUUUAAGUUUGAAAGAUGCAAUUGCAUCACUCAAAGAUGAUCCCGCGUUGUAUUAGCUAGUUGGUGAGGUAAAGGCUCACCAAGGCGAUGAUACAUAGCCGACCUGAGAGGGUGAUCGGCCACAUUGGGACUGAGACACGGCCCAAACUCCUACGGGAGGCAGCAGUAGGGAAUCUUCGGCAAUGGACGAAAAUCUGACCGAGCAACGCCGCGUGAGUGAAGAAGGUUUUCGGAUCGUAAAACUCUGUUGGUAGAGAAGAACGUUGGUGAGAGUGGAAAGCUCAUCAAGUGACGGUAACUACCCAGAAAGGGACGGCUAACUACGU
rnacentral:rRNA from 1 species